GGUCACGCCCGGUCCCAUUCCGAACCCGGAAGCUAAGUCCACCAGCGCCGAUGGUACUGCACUCGGGAGGGUGUGGGAGAGUAGGUCGCCGCCGGCA
rnacentral:rRNA from 1 species